UCUAGCCAUGGGCAGGUUGAAGGUUGGGUAACACUAACUGGAGGACCGAACCGACUAAUGUUGAAAAAUUAGCGGAUGACCUGUGGCUGGGGGUGAAAGGCCAAUCAAACCGGGAGAUAGCUGGUUCUCCCCGAAAGCUAUUUAGGUAGCGCCUCGUGAAUUCAUCUCCGGGGGUAGAGCACUGUUUCGGCUAGGGGGCCAUCCCGGCUUACCAACCCGAUGCAAACUGCGAAUACCGGAGAAUGUUAUCACGGGAGACACACGGCGGGUGCUAACGUCCGUCGUGAAGAGGGAAACAACCCAGACCGCCAGCUAAGGUCCCAAAGUCAUGGUUAAGUGGGAAACGAUGUGGGAAGGCCCAGACAGCCAGGAUGUUGGCUUAGAAGCAGCCAUCAUUUAAAGAAAGCGUAAUAGCUCACUGGUCGAGUCGGCCUGCGCGGAAGAUGUAACGGGGCUAAACCAUGCACCGAAGCUGCGGCAGCGACACUGUGUGUUGUUGGGUAGGGGAGCGUUCUGUAAGCCUGUGAAGGUGUGUCGUGAGGCAUGCUGGAGGUAUCAGAAGUGCGAAUGCUGACAUAAGUAACGAUAAAGCGGGUGAAAAGCCCGCUCGCCGGAAGACCAAGGGUUCCUGUCCAACGUUAAUCGGGGCAGGGUGAGUCGACCCCUAAGGCGAGGCCGAAAGGCGUAGUCGAUGGGAAACGGGUUAAUAUUCCCGUACUUGGUGUUACUGCGAAGGGGGGACGGAGAAGGCUAUGUUGGCCGGGCGACGGUUGUCCCGGUUUAAGCGUGUAGGUGUGUGUUCCAGGUAAAUCCGGUUCACUUUAACACUGAGGCGUGACGACGAGGCACUACGGUGCUGAAGCAACAAAUGCCCUGCUUCCAGGAAAAGCCUCUAAGCAUCAGGUAACAUCAAAUCGUACCCCAAACCGACACAGGUGGUCAGGUAGAGAAUACCAAGGCGCUUGAGAGAACUCGGGUGAAGGAACUAGGCAAAAUGGUGCCGUAACUUCGGGAGAAGGCACGCUGACACGUAGGUGAAGUGAUUUACUCAUGGAGCUGAAGUCAGUCGAAGAUACCAGCUGGCUGCAACUGUUUAUUAAAAACACAGCACUGUGCAAACACGAAAGUGGACGUAUACGGUGUGACGCCUGCCCGGUGCCGGAAGGUUAAUUGAUGGGGUCAGCGCAAGCGAAGCUCCUGAUCGAAGCCCCGGUAAACGGCGGCCGUAACUAUAACGGUCCUAAGGUAGCGAAAUUCCUUGUCGGGUAAGUUCCGACCUGCACGAAUGGCGUAAUGAUGGCCAGGCUGUCUCCACCCGAGACUCAGUGAAAUUGAACUCGCUGUGAAGAUGCAGUGUACCCGCGGCAAGACGGAAAGACCCCGUGAACCUUUACUAUAGCUUGACACUGAACAUUGAGCCUUGAUGUGUAGGAUAGGUGGGAGGCUUUGAAGUGUGGACGCCAGUCUGCAUGGAGCCGACCUUGAAAUACCACCCUUUAAUGUUUGAUGUUCUAACGUGGACCCGUUACCCGGGUUGCGGACAGUGUCUGGUGGGUAGUUUGACUGGGGCGGUCUCCUCCUAAAGAGUAACGGAGGAGCACGAAGGUUGGCUAAUCCUGGUCGGACAUCAGGAGGUUAGUGCAAUGGCAUAAGCCAGCUUGACUGCGAGCGUGACGGCGCGAGCAGGUGCGAAAGCAGGUCAUAGUGAUCCGGUGGUUCUGAAUGGAAGGGCCAUCGCUCAACGGAUAAAAGGUACUCCGGGGAUAACAGGCUGAUACCGCCCAAGAGUUCAUAUCGACGGCGGUGUUUGGCACCUCGAUGUCGGCUCAUCACAUCCUGGGGCUGAAGUAGGUCCCAAGGGUAUGGCUGUUCGCCAUUUAAAGUGGUACGCGAGCUGGGUUUAGAACGUCGUGAGACAGUUCGGUCCCUAUCUGCCGUGGGCGCUGGAGAACUGAGGGGGGCUGCUCCUAGUACGAGAGGACCGGAGUGGACGCAUCACUGGUGUUCGGGUUGUCAUGCCAAUGGCACUGCCCGGUAGCUAAAUGCGGAAGAGAUAAGUGCUGAAAGCAUCUAAGCACGAAACUUGCCCCGA
rnacentral:rRNA from 3 species